rnacentral:rRNA from 1 species
GACAGAGGGUGCGAACGUUGUUCGGAAUUACUGGGCGUAAAGCGUGCGCAGGCGGUUGUGCAAGACCGAUGUGAAAUCCCCGGGCUUAACCUGGGAACUGCAUUGGUGACUGCACGGCUAGAGUGUGUCAGAGGGGGGUAGAAUUCCACGUGUAGCAGUGAAAUGCGUAGAGAUGUGGAGGAAUACCGAUGGCGAAGGCAGCCCCCUGGGAUAACACUGACGCUCAUGCACGAAAGCGUGGGGAGCAAACAGG